CCCAGAGUGGCUUAGUGGAUACAGCGCCAGGCUUGAAGUCUGGAGGACAUGGGUUCAAAUCUGGUCUCUGACA
rnacentral:tRNA from 1 species